rnacentral:pre_miRNA from 1 species
GGUUGCUUCAGUGAACAUUCAACGCUGUCGGUGAGUUUGGAAUUAAAAUCAAAACCAUCGACCGUUGAUUGUACCCUAUGGCUACCC